rnacentral:rRNA from 1 species
CCUACGGGAGGCAGCAGUGGGGAAUAUUGGACAAUGGGGGCAACCCUGAUCCAGCAAUGCCGCGUGUGUGAAGAAGGUCUUCGGAUUGUAAAGCACUUUUCGACGGGGACGAUGAUGACGGUACCCGUAGAAGAAGCCCCGGCUAACUUCGUGCCAGCAGCCGCGGUAAUACGAAGGGGGCUAGCGUUGCUCGGAAUGACUGGGCGUAAAGGGUGCGUAGGCGGCGAGAUAAGUCAGGCGUGAAGUUCCUGGGCUCAACCUGGGGACUGCGUUUGAGACUGUUUGGCUAGAGGAUGGAAGAGGCUCGUGGAAUUCCCAGUGUAGAGGUGAAAUUCGUAGAUAUUGGGAAGAACACCGGUGGCGAAGGCGGCGAGCUGGUCCAUUACUGACGCUGAGGCACGAUAGCGUGGGGAGCAAACAGGAUUAGAUACCCUGGUAGUCCACGCCGUAAACGAUGUGUGCUGGAUGUUGGGGUUACAUAGAACCUCAGUGUCGUAGCUAACGCGAUAAGCACACCGCCUGGGGAGUACGGCCGCGAAGGUUGAAACUUAAAGGAAUUGACG